rnacentral:rRNA from 1 species
GAUGAACGCUGGCGGCGUGCCUAACACAUGCAAGUCGAACGGAAGGACAAUAAGCUUGCUUCUCUGCUGUUGGCGGCGGGCGGGUGUGUAACGCGUGGAUCCCCUACUUCUCUUUCUGGGAUCAUUUCGGAAAACCGGAUAUACUACCAUAUGAUAUUUUGCACCGCUGGGUUCAUAGGAGAUUGACGGUCUUGCUGUAUCUAAUAGCUGGUUCCGGGCUGGCUUAGCUAGUUGGUAGGGUAACGGCCUACCAAGGCAACGAUGCGUAGCCGACCUGAGAGGGUGAUCGGCCACACUGGAACUGAGACACGGUCCAGACUCCUACGGGAGGCAGCAGUAGGGAAUCUUCGGCAAUGGGCGAAAGCCUGACCCAGCAAUGCCGCGUGAGUGACGAAGGCCUUCGGAUCGUAAAACCCUGUUAUUGGGGAAGAACAGCUGUGGAAUGAAACGAGGCCAUCGUGACGGUACCUAAUGAAAAAGCAACGGCUAACUACGUG